rnacentral:rRNA from 1 species
AGUGAACGCUGGCGGCAGGCCUAAUACAUGCAAGUCGAACGGCAGCACAGCAGAGCUUGCUCUGUGGGUGGCGAGUGGCGGACGGGUGAGGAAUACAUGGGAAUCUGCCCAGUCGUGGGGGAUAACGUAGGGAAACUUACGCUAAUACCGCAUGCGCCCUUCGGGGGAAAGCCGGGGACCUUCGGGCCUGGCGCGAUUGGAUGAGCCCAUGUCGGAUUAGCUAGUUGGCGGGGUAACGGCCCACCAAGGCGACGAUCCGUGGGUGGCCUGAGAGGAUGAUCAGCAACACUGGAACUGAGACACGGUCCAGACUCCUACGGGAGGCAGCAGUAGGGAAUAUUGGACAAUGGGCGCAAGCCUGAUCCAGCCAGGCCGCGUGAGUGAAGAAGGCCCUCGGGUUGUAAAGCUCUUUUGUCCGGAAAGAAAAGCACUGGGUUAAUACUCCGGUGUCCUGACGGUACCGGAAGAAUAAGCACCGGCUAACUUCGUGCCAGCAGCCGCAGUAACAC